UAAAUAACAAUGCAGGGCCUUUCGGUUUUGUAAUUGGAAUGAGUACAAUUUAAACCCUUAACGAGAACAAUUGGAGGGCAAGUCUGGUGCCAGCAGCCGCGGUAAUUCCAGCUCCAAUAGCGUAUAUUAAAGUUGUUGCAGUUAAAACGCUCGUAGUCGAACUUUAGACAAGGCCGACUGGUCUGCCGUCAGGCAUGACUGGACGUGCCGCGUCUCUUUAUCGGGGAACUAGGGGCGAAAGUCUCAGGGAACCGAGGAUUACUGUGAAGAAAUUAGAGUGUUUAAAGCAGGCGUUUGCUUGAAUACGUUAGCAUGGAAUAAUAAGAUAGGACCAUGGUUCUAUUUUAUUGGUUUGAGGACCAAGGUAAUGAUUAAUAGGGACAGUUGGGGCAUUAGUAUUGGCGCGUCAGAGGUGAAAUUCUUGGAUCGCGACAAGACUCGCUAGUGCGAAAGCAUUUGCCAAGGAUGUUUUCAUUAAUCAAGAACGAAAGUCAGGGGAUCGAAGACGAUCAGAUACCGUCGUAGUCUUGACCAUAAACGAUGCCGACUGGCGGUUUUUGAAGUUAGAACUUCAAAAGAAGCCUGAGAGAAAUCAAAGUUUUUAGGUUCUGGGGGAGUAUGGUCGCAAGGCUGAAACUUGAAGGAAUUGACGGAAGGGCACCACCAGGAGUGGAGCCUGCGGCUUAAUUUGACUCAACACGGGGAAACUCACCAGGUCCAGACAUGGGAAGGAUUGACAGAUUGACAGCGCUUUCGAGAUUCUAUGGGUGGUGGUGCACGGCCGUUCUUAGUUGGUGGUAUGAAUUGUCAGGUUAAUUCCGAUAACGAACGAGACCUUGGCCUUUAACUAGUUUGCGUGACGAUUCGUCGCGUUUUGACUUCUUGGAGGGACACUGUGUGAUAAUGCAGGGAAGUUUGAGGCAAUAACAGGUCUGUGAUGCCCUUUGAUGUUCUGGGCCGCACGCGCGCUACACUGAUGGAGGCAACGAGUGCAUUUUCUGGAAAGAGGGUGUAAACUCUGAAACUCUAUCGUGCUGGGGAUAGUCCUUUGCAAUUUUUGGACUUUAACGAGGAAUUCCUAGUAAGCGCGAGUCAUCAGCUCGCGUUGAUUACGUCCCUGCCCUUUGUACACACCGCCCGUCGCUAGUACCGAUUGAAUGGCUUAGUGAGGC
rnacentral:rRNA from 1 species